UUUAAAAUGCUUGCUUUUUGCGUUUUAAACUCUCCCGGCUAUUCGAAGUGUUUUAUUGCUAAAAAUAUAUGGAUUUUAGAUAACUUCAAGACACGUACAGCUAAAAAGGAAGACCAAAGGAAGGCCUGUCGAACUCUUGUCUUGUCUUGUUUGUGGAGAGGGAUGAAUCUGGCCAUCUUGUGUGUUUAUGGAGAAGACCAAAAGCUGCAAAGGCAAACAUUUCCAAUGGUAAAAACAGAGAGUUCGCAUGAUGGCCUUUUUCAGUUUUGUCAACUGAACGGCUACUAGUGAGGGUCAGCGAGUUCUUGUCAUGAUGAGCCCUCGCCAGAUAAGCCAAAAUGGAAGACCAAAAACACAAAGAAAAUCAAUCACAGCAAGCCAGUCAAAGCAGUCCUGUUGGGAAUGAACAUGGUCUUCUUGUGCCCAAACAGAGAAGACGGAGAACUGAAAAUCUGCACAUUUCCAUUGGAGGAUGAAGCCAGUUGAUGAAGAUAUCAAUUCAGUGGCCACCAAGUACUGCACUGCUGCCUGAACCCAUCAGAUAUCUGCUGUGAAGACUGCAUUCAAGAACAGCUCUACUGCGACAGCUCAGAUGUUACGGCACAUAAAAGAAACUUACCAACUGAACAACUGCAAGAUAGUGAUAGCCCAUAGUGAUAGCCCAUACCUCCAACAACAUUCAACAGGAAUCAAUGGAAAGUCCAGUGCAACAAUUAUAAAUUGUCUGUACCUUGUCUUACUGAAUGACACAUUGGCGUAAUACUGUAAUAGAACAAUAAAUUAAUUAUGAAUAACAGUUAAAAUAGGCAAGGAAAAGCUGACAGAGAGAGAGAGAGAGAGUGGGCUGUUGAUAAACAGCUGCUGGACACUAAAGGUUGUUGUAGGAGAUGGAGAUGUAUGUGAUCUGAAGAAACUGAAAGACAAAAAAAUAUUGAAUUACAUUUUUUUUUACAUAAAAGUAUUAAAGGCAUGGCAAGUUAUGUGAUUAACUACAAAUACCACAUUAAAACUACGUUACUGUGGUAAAAACAUGGUAAAUGU